AGCAGCAGAGGUCCCGUUCAACAAACAUGCCCCUCGCCUUUUACUAGGGGCAUCCGGGAUGGGGCCUCACAAUAUGCUGCGGUACAAUCUUUGGAUCCUUUCGCCUUUCAGGCGAU
rnacentral:snRNA from 1 species